rnacentral:lncRNA from 1 species
AUUGUGUUUUUUUCUAUUUUCUCCUCUUAACACUUUUUCCACAAACAUGCACUCAUUAAUCAAAGAUGGUGCACUCCUGCUGAGGGCAGAGAGGUUCAUCAAAUUGGCAGUCAGUUUGGUGUAAAGAACGGUGUACUGAAGCUCUUAACUCGCUGGGACAUAAAUAAAUCUAUGGUCUUUGUAUGCAAACCCUGGAGGUUAAUACUGUAUAAUUCAGCAUCCUGUCUUUGUUUUUAUGAUUGAUGUUUUUAAAUGUUUGAAGCUUAGUGCAAGUCUUCUAAUAGAUCAGGUCUGACAAUCUGAUUGGCUGUAGUAAGAAAGCCUUAGGUUGUCAGAAAGACUUUGAGUAUGCUGCAGAGAUUUUGAUUUUUUUUUUCCUACAAGAUCAUUGUCAUAUUGCUUGAGCUGUUAUAGGAAUGUACCAGUGAUUGACAUUCCCUGCUGUGAUAAUGGACCUAGUGCAUGAAAUGCCAAUAGUUUGGUCCUAUUUGUUCGGAAGCUUACUGCUAUUUGUAUCCUUAACAGAGCUAACAUGUAGAACAAGCAAAACUACUG